CUCAAAGAUCUUAUUGCAGGUAUAAAUUUCAUAUUUUCUUAUUUGUGAUUUCAGAUCUUCAAUUUCUAGACUUUGUUUGAGAAAUCACAUUUUCUUGUCUGUUGAAUUCUAUGUAUGUACAGGUGAAUUAAAUAUAUGGCAGCGGUUUCAGUUCAUCAGCUCGCUCAGUGCAUUACUUGCCAUGCUUGGAGUCCAGACCAUUCUAGUACGUCUUUAAUUCUGAAAAACCCCUCUUUUGAAUUCACAGUUUAUGAAUUUGAUUUGAUUUUAUGAUAUACAAAUCAAUUAAUGAUAAUUCGUUUAUGUUCAAAUCGUAGUGAUAGCAUUAUGCCCAAAUAACAACGAAGUGCAUAUAUAUAGAUUAUCCGAAGACGACAAAUGGGAGAAGAUCCACGUUCUUCAGAAGGUAACUUGAAAUUGAGUUUUUAAUAUCUUUGCUUGUACAGUUGUACGCAAUUGUGAUUUCCCUAUAUGGGCUUCAAUUUUAACAGUUUUAUGGCGAUGCAUCAGUCAGUAAUCAGAACUUUAGAAAAUCAAUAAUCUUUCUAUUUCGAUUCACCAGGAGCAGUUUUGAAAAUAUAUAGAGCUUGAUGAUGGUGUAUUUAGAUUUUUAGCAUGUAAGAUAUAUAUCUUGUCGCCUUGAUGACACUAGAGAGAAUGGGAAGAAGUGGGCUUAUCAGAGGAUAAAUAUAUACAUAGUAUUUUGAUUAAAUGGGGGCAAUAGUAAAAUGUGAUAAAGAAGAUGCUUUGCAAAUUAUUUUGUUUUGUCUUUUUUGUGUAUGUGCGCUAUUUUUUGAAUUAGUAACAAUUCAUGAUGCUAGCCAUGAUGUGAAAUUUAUCAGAAAGAAUUUUGACUUUCAUUUUAUGUUCUAGUGUUUUCGUAGUAGAUGUUAUAUUGAACUUAGUAAUAUUUGAGCGAGUUGUCUUACUUGUCUUUAGUGAGAAAGCUUUUCUGAUUAUCGCUUUGUUUCUUUCUUUUCUUUCCCUUGUGACAUCAUGACCAAAUUGUUUUUGGAGUAGAUUGCUUGAAGUAUGAUUGGUAAAAAGAAUACAUGAAAUCCAUCAGAACUAUGAUGGAAAAAAGUCAGCUUUCUCAUAAAACUUUUUUUUUUUGAGUAUUUUUUCGAUCUUUGGAUCUGGGAAGCACUAAUAUGUUGCUAAUUGUCAUUGCAGCUGAUGAACCACUAAAGACGACUUUCCAGGUUCGGCAUCGUUGCUGAUCUGUUUUGUACAAAUUGAUUUUCUUGAAGUUAAAUUGAUUUGGGCUCUGCUUACUUAUUUUGUUUGUUAAUUCAUUUGUUUAGUGUCUAAAUUUCGGGAAUUUGGAUAUUGGGAUAGUCAAUGUCAAGUAAAAGAAAUUACCUUUUAACUCAGAUUUGAGUUUCUUGGAGAAUGUUACAAAAAAACUCAUAAAUUAUUUCUUGUUUAGACAGGUCGAAUAUUAACUGAUGUACAAAUUUGGACAUGGUGUGUGUUGGGAGGGGGGUAUACUUGAGUUUCUGAGAGAUUCAAAGUUGGAGUUCUGAUGCAAAUGCGAUCUUC
rnacentral:lncRNA from 1 species